UCCACCAAAUUCCUCAGCGCUCUCUCACACUCCUCUGCGGCCAGGACUCCGGGGGUGGGGACACAGAGCCGGGUUCCUCCCCGCAGAAGCCCUCUCGGUUCCUUCUCACAGCUCUGCGAAGGGGAAAAGGAGUGUAAGACUCAACCAGCCCCCCGACUCCCGCUCCCAGCACGAGGUGGCCGCUCCGCCCUCCACCCCCGGGGGCCCACUGGUUUGGGGCUCGCGCUCUCUCGCUCUCUGUCCCUCUCCUUCCCUCUCUCUCUCUCUCUGAUCCUCUCCCCCAAACAUGUCCACCGGCUCCCUCAGCGAUGUGGAGGACCUCCAAGAGGUGGAGAUGCUGGACUGCGACGGGCUGAAAAUGGACUCGGGCAAGGAGUUUGUGACUUCCAACGAGAGCACCGAGGAGAGCUCCAACUGCGAGGCGGGGUCGCCCCAGAAGGGCCGCGGAGGCCUGGGCAAGAGGAGGAAGGCGCCCACCAAGAAGAGCCCCUUGGGCGGCGUCAGCCAGGAGGGGAAGCAGGUCCAGCGCAACGCGGCCAACGCGCGCGAGAGGGCCCGGAUGCGGGUGCUGAGCAAGGCCUUCUCCAGGCUCAAGACCACCUUGCCCUGGGUGCCCCCGGACACCAAGCUCUCCAAGCUGGACACGCUCAGGCUGGCGUCCAGCUACAUCGCGCACUUGAGGCAGAUCCUGGCGAACGACAAGUACGAGAACGGUUACAUUCACCCGGUCAACCUGACGUGGCCCUUUAUGGUGGCCGGGAAACCCGAGAGUGACCUGAAAGAAGUGGUGACCGCGAGCCGCUUAUGUGGAACCACAGCAUCCUGACCUUGGAGGUUUGCAGGUUACUUUGAAGACAAUUAUAAAUAAUGUAAUCGUGAACCCAAACGGGCAGUGUUGAAGUUACCAACAGUGACACGAUUCGAGGGAAAAGCACACCAGAAAAGGAAAAUCCGCUUUUCGUGUAUUCGCAGUGUAAUUCAUGACACGGGCACUCAGUAAGAGCUCCCGUUCCGCCUCCUGCACCUCCGACCAACCUCAGGGCUGCUUGGUGGGUGGCACCCUCAGCCUGGCCUUUUGGGAAGAAGCCGGCGAAGCUCGCCCGACAGGUGAACCGCUGUGCCGGGUGGUUCUGGGCCAGUGAUGGCAUUACCAAGCGCAAUUCUCCAUUCUCCAAGGGCCGGGAACGUCGCUGACUUCUAAUCUGCGUUCCUGUCCCUGUCAUUUGCACGUCGGAGGACGUCUCUGGACGUCUGGCUUUUCUACCACUCCCCCAGUCCCCACUUGACCUUUAGGAGCGCAUUUCAAGCUCUGGCCACCUCCACCUUCCCCAAACUCCCGCGUUCUGUUCCGUCGGGUCACUUCUACUAGAGGGCCAGUGCCCUCCCCUCCAUGAUUCUGAAUCCAAGUCAGAGAUGAUGAGUCCCAACUGUUUGCAUUUCACGUUCAGCAAAAUUUCCAAACUUGUUCACAGUUCUGAGCCCUUGAGUCAGGUGGUCCAUAGAGAAGAAACUUCUGCUUGCUCAUUCUGUGGACCCCAAACUGCAAGAGGAUUUUUUUUUUUUAAGUCCAAUGCCUCCUUCCUAUGAUUUGAAGCCUUUGCUUUCAGCUUGAGGACGAGGCUAUGAAUAGGGAACAUAUGAGUUAAGCCCUAGUUCUGCCUCUAGCUUUUCACUGAAAGCACUCA